UCCCGAUGUCCCGGCAUCCAGCAGCAUUAUUUCCCCCUUGUUUUUGCCUCUCCUUAUCCUCAGUAACGUCAUCCUGUUCCCCUGGGAACAACAGCAGGCCUUCAUCUCCUGGCUCAGGACUCCAUGCCAGCAGCCCCACUGCAUCUCAAAAUAACUCCAAAGCAGCAGUGAACUCCACCUCCAGUUUUAACUCUUCAGGAUCUUGGUACCGAUGGAAUCAUCCCACCUACCUCCACUGAGACCAAAAAGUUUCUCCUACUCCACCUGGCCCUGUAUUCCCCCUGGAAGGAAGGGAAUCAUGCCUUCUAUAUACAGACAGAUUGCCUUCAGAAGAGUGGAAGAAAAUCUCCACUAUCAAUGAACCCAGACUCUUGUCUUCUUCAAGAGCAAGGGCCUCUGGAGAUCCAAACUGUGAUUGAACCAAGUGCAGACUCCUAAUGCUCUUGAAAUACACAGCCCCUCCUAGAAGCUUACCAUUUUCACCUUCCUUGCCUAUGCCCUUGCCUUCUAGUUCCAAAUAUUUUAGCCAGCUUCACUGUGGCAAUAGUCUUUCAGAGAAAAGACUUCUUGCUGUUAUUCUCCAACUCAUCCGUGGGCUUCUGGGGACAGCCAUUUGGCUGGGGUGCCAAACACCAGAAGGGGAGAUAAUAGUUUUGACUCUGAGCUUGGCCACAACCCCUGAACUGAUCCCAAAAUCUGUGAAAAGAUUUGAAUCUGAUAUCUCCACCAAAGCCUUGAUGUUUUCUCUGUACAGCUAAGUUUUCUGAUGGACUCUUCAUCUCACCCCAUUUUUUUAACCUCGCCCCCUUUUCUACAAUCAAAUCCAUUCAUUAUUGCGCCCUCCAGGUCCCCUCCUUUUUGCAGAAGGUGUAAAAGAGCUGCCCUUGGUGGGUGCCCUGGGCAUGUUGCAACGCCCGCUGGUGCCCUUCUGUCUGUCCACAUCUGCCUAGGGCUCAGGAGUGCCUGUUCUUUCCCUUCCUCCCUGUGUUUCUCUUUAUCCUGUCCUCUCUCCUUUCUCCUGGCAGCAGAAA
rnacentral:sRNA from 1 species